GAUGAAGAACGUAGCGAAAUGCGAUAAGUAAUGUGAAUUGCAGAAUUCCGUGAAUCAUCGAGUCUUUGAACGCACAUUGCGCCCGCCAGUAUUCUGGCGGGCAUGCCUGUCUGAGCGUCAUUUCAACCCUCAUGCCCCUAGGGCGUGGUGUUGGGGAUCGGCCAAAGCCCGCGAGGGACGGCCGGCCCCUAAAUCUAGUGGCGGACCCGUCGUGGCCUCCUCUGCGAAGUAGUGAUAUUCCGCAUCGGAGAGCGAUGAGCCCCUGCCGUUAAACCCCCAACUUUCCAAGGUUGACCUCAGAUCAGGUAGGAAUACCCGCUGAACUUAAGCAUAUCAAUAAGCGGAGGA
rnacentral:misc_RNA from 1 species